rnacentral:lncRNA from 9 species
GGGUGAGAAUCAAGUCUUUCCAAGGUUUCAUACACCUCCAAACAUAACCUUGCUGUACUACCGCCCUGUGACCUCAGUUUUCCCACCCACGGCCACCCAUACAGAUGCCAGGCGAAAGAAGGACAAACUUUAAUUGCUGCUGAGAAGCAGGCCCUCCCUUUGCCCUUGUUGACAGUGGGCAGGACACAGCCGUCCCAGCCCCAGGUACUUCCUGCUCCUCUGGGAGGGAGCAGCCCUUCCCCUCCAGGACCCAGGAUUGUGGGGGUGAGGGUGCAGGGUGGGGGGCUUCUGACUGGCACAGGCCUACGAGCGCCACAAGACCAGGUUGGCAGGAGGUACAUCGAAGCGCUUGCGGGUGUGGUCAGUGUCCCGGCAGUACAGAGUGUGUUGCUACCCAGCGAUGCCUGCUUUCCAGAACCAGUCGUGGUUGCUGGGGUAUGGAGGUGUCCCCUCCAGGAGGCCCCCAUUCCACCUUUAUCACAUGUACUGACGUCAAUGUGCUCCUCUGCCACCACCUCCUUGACCACCUUGUGACGGAAUCGUCUUACGCACCUUCGAAGCCCCACACCACCUCGCAGCUCUGGAUGUCCUUUCACUAGAGAUCCCAAAGGAUGAUGCCUGAGCCCCUGGCAGCUCCGUCCUGGUCCCCUAGGCUUCAGCUGUGAGGGGACCCAUUUCCUCUCAGCCCAGCCAUACAGCGCCCGGGGACCUGGGAGGGAUCUUCUGGCUACAGAGCUGCUGGAAGCUGGACCCCUGCCAUCUUAUCAAAGAAACCCCCAAUACUGGAGUUUCCGUUGUGGCACAGUGGCAACGAAUCCAACUAGUAACCAUGAGGUUUUGGGUUCAAUCCCUGGCCUUGCUCAGUGGGUUAAGGAUUUGGCAUUGCCACGAGCUGUGGUGUAGGUCACAGACGUGGCUUGGAUCCUGCAUUGCUGUGGCUAUGGCAUAGGCCGGCAGCUGUGGCUCAGGUUGGACCCCAGGCCUGGGAACCUCCCUAUGCCGUGGGUGCUACCCUGAAAAAAAAAAAAAAAGAAAAAGAAAAGAAAUCCCCAAUACUCAAGUCAUAAUGUACAUUCUUUUGCUUUGAAUUUACAAGCCAUGUUUCCAACUUAGACUUGCCCAGGGCUUUUCUCCACCGCAGUGUCUGCUCCCUUGUGUUCCUACCGAGCCAAAUAUGUGGCCUCAGCUUUGCCCUGCCAAGUUCUGCCUAUCCUUCCAAGCCAGCAGCUCUCUUGACACCUCCUCCAGAAAGCCUCGGAUGCUGCAGCCUCUGCCCCCAUUUCACUGUCCUCUGUGCCUUUAGGGAUGUGGGAUGCGGUCCUUCCCUGGGCUGGGACAGGGGCAAGACAAGGGCGUAUAUUUUAAGGAGGUGCUCCCACUCAGACUCAUGCAAGGG